UACGUAGGGUGCGAGCGUUGUCCGGAUUUAUUGGGCGUAAAGAGCUCGUAGGCGGUCUGUCGCGUCGGAUGUGAAAACCCAGGGCUCAACCCUGGGCCUGCAUUCGAUACGGGCAGACUAGAGUACGGCAGGGGAGACUGGAAUUCCUGGUGUAGCGGUGAAAUGUGCAGAUAUCAGGAGGAACACCGGUGGCGAAGGCAGGUCUCUGGGCUGACACUGACGCUCAUGCACGAAAGCGUGGGGAGCAAACAGG
rnacentral:rRNA from 1 species